UUAUUGAAGCAGAAGAGUAUCUUUCACAUUUCAAAGCCCUAAUAUUUACAUCAAUGGCAGCUCAGACAUUGCAGCUCCGAUCACUGGGCAACACUGGACUCAAACUCAGCUCUGUCGGCUUCGGCGCUUCGCCUCUCGGCAAGGUUUUCGGCGAUGUCUCCGAACAAGACGCCUUCGACGCCGUCCGGGAAGCCUUUCGCCUCGGUGUCAAUUUCUUUGAUACUUCCCCGUAUUAUGGAGGAACAUUAUCGGAAAAGGUACUAGGGAAAGCUUUGAAGGCUCUUAAAGUCCCUAGAGAUCAGUACAUUGUGUCUACAAAAUGUGGGAGGUACAAAGAGGGAUUUGAUUUUAGUGCUGAGAGAGUGACUAAAAGUAUUGAUGAGAGCUUGGAGAGGCUGCAGCUUGAUUAUGUUGAUAUGUUACAAUGUCAUGAUAUUGAAUUUGGGUCCCUCGAUCAGAUUGUGAAUGAGACACUUCCCGCCCUUCUAAAAUUGAAGCAAGCUGGAAAGAUCCGUUUCAUUGGUAUAACCGGCCUACCUUUGGGGAUAUUCACUUAUGUGCUUGAUCGCGUCCCUCCAGGCACAGUUGACGUCAUCCUGUCAUAUUGUCACUACAGUGUCAACGAUUCAACUUUGGAGGAUCUGUUACCGUACUUGAAGAGCAAGGGUGUGGGAGUGAUCAGUGCUUCUCCUCUUUCAAUGGGUCUUCUUACUGAGGCUGGUGGUCCCGAGUGGCACCCUGCUUCUUCUGAACUUAAGGCUGCCUGCCGUGCUGCUGCUGAUCACUGCAAAGGAAAGGGAAAGAAUAUCUCAAAAUUAGCCUUGCAGUACAGCUUAGCAAAUACCGACAUUUCUUCCAUACUAGUGGGGAUGAAGUCUGUUAAAGAGGUUGAGGAAAAUAUAGCAGCUGCCCUAGAAGUAGCAACGACUGGAAUGGACGAAGAAGCAUUAUCAGAGAUCACAGACAUUCUGAAACCAGUGAAGAAUCAGACAUGGCCUAGCGGUAUCCAACAAAGUUGAUUUGUUUGUCAGUUCAACGAGGUCUUGUGAAUUGUGAUCUCCUGUUGUGCAUGUUUUAUUUGCACUUGGACAUCUAAAACAAGUUCAAGUCGAAAUUGUAUGUUGUAUUCUUCGAGUUUUUACAUAUCCAAGUUAGAAUAAUGAAUAAACUUUGCAGUGUUUUAAGUAUAGGAGGCCAGUUUCGAUUGUUAAAUGCCUUUUGGAACCUGUCUAAACAGAGACAUGUCCAGUUUACCAAAAUUACUGUAAUGUUUUAGUUUCGGGUACCAUAUUUGAUAAUUCAAAUUGUGUUUGCUCCAAA
rnacentral:misc_RNA from 1 species